CAGCCCCUCAGCCAGUUAGCACCGGCCCCCAUGCAGAACAGAAAUACAACUUUGAUUUUUUUGAUUUGAUUACAACAUUCCCAUUCAGACACAACAUUCCCAUUCAGACACAACAUUUCCAUUCAGACAAAACAUUCCCAUUCAGACAAAACAUUCCCAUUCAGACUCAACAUUCCCAUUCAGACUCAACAUUCCCAUUCAGACACAACAUUCCCAUUCAGACUCAACAUUCCCAUUCAGACACAACAUUCCCAUUCAGACACAACAUUCCCAUUCAGACUCAACAUUCCCAUUCAGACACAACAUUCCCAUUCAGACACAACAUUCCCAUUCAAACACAACAUUCCCAUUCAGACACAACAUUCCCAUUCAGACACAACAUUCCCUUUCAAACACAACAUCCCCAUUCAGACACAACAUUUCCAUUCAGAAACAACAUUCCCAUUCAAACACAACAUUGAGCACCGGCCCCCAUGCAGAACAGAAAUACAACUUUUGAUUACAACAUCCCCAUUCAGACACAACAUUCCCAUUCACUCAACAUUCCCAUUCAGACCCAACAUUCCCAUUCAGACACAACAUUCCCAUUCAAACACAACAUUCCCAUUCAGACACAACAUUUCCAUUCAGACAAAACAUUCCCAUUCAGACUCAACAUUCCCAUUCAGACUCAACAUUCCCAUUCAGACACAACAUUCCCAUUCAGACUCAACAUUCCCAUUCAGACACAACAUUCCCAUUCAGACACAACAUUUCCAUUCAGGCACAACAUUCCCAUUCAAACAUAACAUCCCCAUUCAGACACAACAUUCCCAUUCAAACACAACAUUCCCAUUCAGACACAACAUUCCCAUUCAAACACAACAUUCCCAUUCAGACACAACAUUCCCAUUCAAAGUCAAAGUCAAAGUGUUUUAUUUGUCACAUGCACCAAAUAGCUUAGCGUCAUCAGAGCAGUGAAAUUCUUGUGACCUGGCAGGCAACAUCUACGCAGUAGACGGGCAUACAAGAUAAAAAAUAACAUAUAACAUAGUAACAACAAUUUAAAUUUAAAUGAAAGGCUAGCAGCAGUUGGAGUGAGGAAUAUUAAAUUAAAUAAUAUGCAUAUAUAUGUAGUAAGUAGUAAGUGUAGUUGUAUGUAUGGGGUAGCAGAAUGUGCAUGGUG
rnacentral:lncRNA from 1 species